rnacentral:rRNA from 1 species
GACGAACGCUGGCGGCGUGCUUAGCACAUGCAAGUCGAACGGAAAGGCCCUGCUUUUGUGGGGUGCUCGAGUGGCGAACGGGUGAGUAACACGUGAGUAACCUGCCCUUGACUUUGGGAUAACUUCAGGAAACUGGGGCUAAUACCGGAUAGGAGCUCCUGCUGCAUGGUGGGGGUUGGAAAGUUUCGGCGGUUGGGGAUGGACUCGCGGCUUAUCAGCUUGUUGGUGGGGUAGUGGCUUACCAAGGCUUUGACGGGUAGCCGGCCUGAGAGGGUGACCGGCCACAAUGGGACUGAGAUACGGCCCAGACUCCUACGGGAGGCAGCAGUGGGGAAUAUUGCACAAUGGGCGGAAGCCUGAUGCAGCAACGCCGCGUGCGGGAUGACGGCCUGCGGGUUGUAAACCGCUUUCGCCUGUGACGAAGCGUGAGUGACGGUAAUGGGUAAAGAAGCACCGGCUAACUACGUG